rnacentral:rRNA from 1 species
UACGGGGGGAGCAAGCGUUGUUCGGAUUUACUGGGCGUAAAGGGCGGGUAGGCGGCCACCUCAAGUCAGUUGUGAAAUCUCUGGGCUUAACCCAGAAAGGUCAACUGAUACUGCGGGGCUAGAGUGCAGAAGGGGCAACUGGAAUUCUCGGUGUAGCGGUGAAAUGCGUAGAUAUCGAGAGGAACACCUGCGGCGAAGGCGGGUUGCUGGGCUGACACUGACGCUGAACUGCGAAAGCUAGGGGAGCGAACGGG